UACGAAGGGGGCUAGCGUUGUUCGGAAUCACUGGGCGUAAAGCGUACGUAGGCGGACCAUUAAGUCGGGGGUGAAAUCCCAGGGCUCAACCCUGGAACUGCCUUCGAUACUGGUGGUCUGGAGUCCGGGGAGAGGUGAGUGGAACUCCUAGUGUAGAGGUGAAAUUCGUAGAUAUUAGGAAGAACACCAGUGGCGAAGGCGGCUCACUGGCCCGGUACUGACGCUGAGGCACGAAAGCGUGGGGAGCAAACAGGG
rnacentral:rRNA from 1 species